rnacentral:tRNA from 1 species
UUGGGUUGUUUUAGUGGUUAGAGCUUAGGUGUCAUAACCGAAAGGUCGCGGGAUCGAAUCCCGCUAGAGGCUGAAA